CCUCUACAUAAUGAAGAAAUUAUCUCCUACCUUUUCACCAAGCUUGACUCUGAAUAUGAUCCCAUCGUGACCUCUCUUAAGACCCAAUCAAAUCAUCUUAGCCUUGAUGAUAUCUACGCACAUCUUCUCACCUUCGAGA